AUCUAGAAUCCUAGAUAUCCUUCUUUUACUCAGCUGUGAAAUCAUUAUCUCAAUACCUUUCUUGUAUUAAGAUGUCUCCAAACACCGAAACAUGUGCAUCACCAUCAACGACUUGAACACGCCUGUUAGUCAUUGAACCCGCCAGUAGCCUGAUGAGUACCUGGCCAUCGAUGAGUAUCUGUCCAUUUGCUAAUGUACUUUCUGAGGACACUGCCUCAAUAUUCCCCUGUGAUGCGACCAUAUCCAGAACUUCACCGGUUCCUUUUCUAUUAAAUGCAAUCAGCUUUUCCUUGCAUUUAGACCUUCAUGAAACUUCUUUCAGUUCCAUGACUUGAGCUUAAGAUGAGCCUACUUGUGGAGAAUAAGUCUUAUCCUUCCUGAGAUGGACAAACUAUAAGACAAUUCCCUACAAUGCCUGCAAUGUCUUCUAACAGUUUCUUACUUUGCUUCAUCUCACCAUUCUUCAUCUUCACUGCUCAAUAUUUCAGUAUCUCUUGAUACUUACUUCCCUUCAGUUUAACCAAGUACCUCACCAUGUGUUAUCUUGCAUCAUACUCGGUAUUGAUUUCAUGGUCCUCUGUAUCAACCUCACUGCAGUGUAAUCAUGAUACAAAUGCCGAUUUCACUUGUUUUGCCUACAAGUUACUUUAUGUAAGAAUCCUCUUACAAAUCUCCUGAUGAUGCACCUUGUAUUUGUUAACUGACCUUGAUACUCCUGGCCUUGACAUACUGAACAUAUCCACGACCCUCUUGUCAUGGAAUAACCUUUCCUUUUAGCUCUUACUCUCUUGAGCUGACCAUGUUGCUAACCGAAACUUUUACCCUUCAGCUGAACCAAUCAAGACAUCUUCUAACCAGUGACUCACUCCCCCUGGAAUCAGAUUAUAUAUAUAUAUAUAUCCCUGAUGCAUCAAUCCUUAUAUAAUCUCAGUGGCUCCACCUGAAUUAAAUAACCCUUUAGAAGUACCAUGUCUCUGUAACUAAGUUUCUGCAACUGUUCAUUGUUUAUGUCGGCCUUUCACUGUAUCUCUCAUCAUCCAACCAUGUGAUGCUCCUGAGAUACUCCCUUACAGCUUCUCUCGUGUCAAAACUCGGACCCAUGACGAGUUUCUCAAGCUGUAAUCAUACAUGAACCCUGACUUGUUCAAGCAUGAAGUUCCGACCCGGUCAACUUUGCAAAUUUCUCAUUUUGCUUAUGAGCUUCGAUUAUUGUCCGAGAGCUCCACUUUGACACUUAUGGUCGUGACACCAAACUGGUGUUCCUUACUCCUCUUCUGAGUCUAUUCAUCUUGGAUUUCCGACUCAGGCAUCCACGACGAUUCCUCUAAGGUAUAACUGAUAUCUUGCAUAUUUCCAUUGUUUUAUUCAUUUACCCAUGUGCAUUUUGAUCAUAUAGACUAGGAUUUAGACAUAUUUAGGUUGCAUUUUUCAUACAUGAGUAUUUAUCAGGUAUUGGAGUACCACGUGGAGUUCUUGGAGACAAUUGGGUGCAUUUGGAGCUAAAAAGAGGUGAUAAAUGUGAUCAUUGGACGAGCAGUGCAUGGGAGCGACCGCACCGGAGCGACACCGUGAAGUUGCUGUGACACCCCUUCAGAGCGACUUGACCAGAGCGACACCCCGAUGUCGCUCGCGUAGAAACAACAAAAACGCGCCCGGAGCGACCAGUCGCAGCGACCCCUCCGGGUCGCUCCCAAAGCCUGGAGCGACCUUACCACAACAACGCGGAGAAGUCGCUCGCGUCUUCAUCCCCAGGAGCGACCAGUCGCAGCGAACAGUCGCAGCGACCUCUCUAGGUUGCUCCCGAAGAAACGACCCGGGAGCGACUUCUCGCAGCGACUACUGGAGGUCGCUCCCGACCUAUUGUUUACCCGAAUUCAUUUCUAAUCAAGAGCCUUUGGUCAUUUCAUUAUGCACGUUUUACACUUUCUAAACCUAUGUUUAAGAAUCCUUUGUAAGCCAUUGGAGGCAGAUUAUCUGGAUCUUAAGAAACACAACCAAAAAAACCGCUUGGAAAGUUCAUCUCUUUGGAUUCAAUCGAUUUUCUGUUAUUGCAAUCCUGUUGUUUUCAUAUCGAUUCUCUGUAUUCCUCUACAUGAUUAAUCUGAAAUCCAAUAUGGGUUUAAGAGGAAUCAUAGAGAUUAGUGAGUAAUCACCUUUUGAAUUCAUGGGUUAGGGAGAUUAAGGGUGAUUAGGUUAGAACUAAGAUGUUUUAGUGUAGAUCAUUCUUAAUCAUUGCUAGUAGAGUAUUCAUAAUGCUUCUUCUGAGUUAGAUACUCAAAAGUUGACAUUUAGGCAUUUCCCACCCAAAAGGUGUUUGAUGAAAUGCCUGAGACAACUCUUCUAAGCUUUUAGCAUAUUUUACCGAAGACAUUUGUUGUUAGAAGUGCUAAGAUAGCCUUUAGACUUGCUAGUAAUGAUUGCUUUCAUAUUGUUCAACCAAAGACAUUUGUUGUUUGAAAUGUGUUAGUAAAUGAACAUUCAUCUAGACAUAGAGUCUGCUUAGAAUUGUGUCUAAGCUUAAGGUUGAUAGUUUGAUUGUUCGUUUUGCCAUCCUUAGUUCGAAACUUGAUCACCCGAGGUCUAAUUCCUAUGCCCAUGAGUUCUCUUUUCCCUUAGUUAAGAAAGUCGUUUCAUUUAUCGUUUUUAUUAUUCUGCAACUCCAUUAGCAUUAAUCGUUAGUUUAGAAAAACUUUUUAAUCAUCGGUUGCACUUAGAUUAAGCAAGUACUUGCACUCUCAGUGCUUGAAAUCCCUUAGAAUUGGUUCGACAAUCUUUUAUACUACAUCAUUUAUUUUAGGAGCCUUCAAAACUUUUAACAUCAAAUGGGCACCGUUGCCAAAUUCUGAGUAGAUUUGAACAUUGAGAUUUAGUCAGUUGCUUGAGACUAAGUCAUUUUUAUUUUCUUUUGUUACUGAUUCUCCUUCUUCACCUCCCUUUAAUUUACAGGUGUAAUAACUUGAGGAGCAGGGGUCCAUCAAACCUAGUUUCAAGAGCUGGAGACAUCAGAGCUUUAGAGAGAGAGUGUGCUAGAAAGAGAAGAGAAGAAGACCAGCAGGCUCACUUGCAGAGAAUGGAUACUGAUAUGGGAGACAUACCUCGAAAUGAUGCGGACGUCAAUGGAGCUAACAACGGUCCACAAAACCAACAGCGAGCAGCUCGACCCAUUGGCACUUAUGACCGCCCAAACAUUCAUGGUCACAGAUUGGGAAUCUGAGCACCAGCUGUAGCAGCCAACAACUUUGAGAUCAAAUCAGGACUCCUCAACGUGAUCGAGAACAACAAGUAUCAUGGCUUGGCUCUAGAGGACCCAUUUGAUCACUUGGACAGGUUCGACAGCUACUGUGGGUUGUCAAAGACCAAUGGUGUGUCCGAAGAUGCCUUAAAGCUCAAGCUAUUCCCUUUCUCUUUGGGGGAUAAGGCACGUCAGUGGGAGACGUCUCUACCCAGCGACUCUAUAACCACUUGGGAUGACUGCAAGAGAGCAUUUUUGGAGAAGUUCUUCUCUACUUCAAGAACUGCUAAGCUGAGAAAUGAGAUUUUCAGCUUUCAACAGAAGAACUUGGAAGAAUUCAGUGAAGCCUCGGAGAGAUUCAAGGGCUACCAAGCUCAAUGCCCACACCAUGGCGUCUCUAAGGAAAGCUUGCUGAGCACAUUCUACUGGGGUGCUCUUCCUAAGUACAGGGCCAGACUGAAUACAACUAGCAAUGGGUUCUUCUUGGGGAGAACUGAGGAAGAUGCAGAAGAGCUGGUUGACAACAUGGUAAAGAGUGAUGCAGUCUACAGCGGAGACCACGACAGAGGCAGUAGAUCAGAUGACAAGCAGACGAGGAAGGAGUUGAAAGCUCUACAGGAUAAGAUAGACAUCCUCACUGCUGAUAAAGCCACCCAAGAGCAGCUGCACUUUGUUGGUAACCCAAGCCAAGAGACAUCACCUGAUGCUCAUGAGGUUGAGGGUUUGGAAGGUCAAGAAGAGCUGUGUUUUAUCAACAACAAUGGUAGCUGGUACAAAAAGGAGCCCAACUUUCAGUACAACAACUACCAACAGAAAUCUUAUUCCAACAACCAACAAAGUGGUUAUCAGCCUCGAACAACCAACAAGGCAACUAUCAGCCUCAACAAAACCCUCCUCCUGGUUUCAACAGCAAAUGACACCAUUCUUCCCAACAACAAGCUAAUCCUUCUACCUCUACUCCUUAAGUCAGCAGCACUGAUGCCCUACUGAAACAAAUCUUGGAGUCUCAGACAAAAAGUGAGAAGCAUGUUGGCUAUGAGUUGAAGAACCUUCACUCAAAGAUUGAUGGAAGCUACAAUGAGCUCAACAACAAGUUCAGAACCUUGGAGAACCAGUUUACUGCCAUGAACACUCAACAAAAUCGCCAACAAGGUUCUUUACCUGGAAAAUCUGAGCAAAACCCCAAGGAGACCAUGAAAGUUAUCACCCUCAGGAGUGGUAAGGAGUUACCUCAAAAAGCUCUCACCAAGGAUGCUGAGAAACAAGGUGAGGGGGUUGCCAUCAACAUAGAUGAUGAAGUGGUGAUUGUUGAUGAGAAAAUCAAUGAUGAAAUCUUGGAGAAGAUUUUGGAAGCAAAAGGUAAAGGAAAGGUUGGGGAAGAGAAGAAAACAGUGAAAGAUGGUGAAGUUGUUGCUCCAGAAAGUGAGAAUUCUUUUGUUCCUCCUCCCUAUGAAUCCAAACUACCAUUCCCUGGUAGAUUCAAGAGGCAGCUGCUAGAGAAGUACAAAGCUCUAUUUGAGAAGCAAAUGAGUGAAGUUCAAGUCACAAUGCCUAUCAUUGAUGCUUUCAUGCUAAUUCCUCAAUAUAGCAAGUUCCUGAAAGAUGUUGUAGCUGCAAAGAAGAAGGAGAUGGAGGGCAUGAUGAUUCUCACUCAUGAGUGCAGUGCCAUCAUCCAGAGGCUCGUUGUUCCAAAGAAGCUAGAAGAUCCAGGAUGCUUCACAUUACCUUGUGCUCUUGGACCUAUGGUAUUUGAUAGAUGUCUCUGCGAUUUGGGAGCUAGUGUCAGCUUGAUGCCUUUAUCUGUUGCUAAGAAGCUUGGUUUCACUCAGUACAAGAAGUGUAGACAGUCUCUAGUAUUGGCUGAUCGUUCACUGAAGUACCCUGUGGGUAUCUUGGAGGACCUCCCCGUUAUGGUUGGAAAAUAUGAGAUCCCUACAGACUUUGUGGUGCUUGAGAUGGAUGAGGAAGCUGCAGAUCCUUUAAUCCUUGGAAGGCCUUUCUUACCAACAGCAAGAGCAAUUGUUAAUGUGAAAGAGGGCAAGAUUGAUCUCCACUUGGGUAAAGCGCAUGUUCUUCACUUUGACAUCAAGGAGGUAAUGAAGAAACCAACAGUUCAAGGGCAAGUUUUCUACAUUGAAGAGAUGGACGCCCUUGCUGAUGAGCUCCUUGAAGGGUUGUCACUAGAAGACCCUCUCCAACAUGCUUUGAUGAUAGAGAGAAAAGCUGAAGUGAUUGAGAACCUGGAGAGUGCUGCCUAUGGGAUGAUGAUGGAUUCACACAGAGGAUUUGGUAGUAAGGAUCUGUAUGAGGCGCUGCCACAAGUGGUUCAUCAAGAAACCUCAGUCAUUCAACAAGAGGACACCCAACAAGACGACUGGAGCGAGCUUAAGGCGCCUAAAGUGGAGCUUAAACCUCUCCCCAAUGGUGUAAUGUGUGCGUUCCUUGGUCCUAAUGAAACCUACCCAGUCAUUGUGAGUAGUGAACUUACUGAAACUGAGCUAUCUGAACUUUUGAAAACACUUAAAAGAUUUAGAAAAGCAAUAGGUUACUCUCUUGAUGACAUCAAAGGAAUAUCACCCUCUUUGUGUAUGCAUAGGAUACAUCUUGAGGGUGAAUCAAUGACUUCUGUCGAGCAUCAAAGAAGGUUAAAUCAUAACCUGAAGGAUGUUGUAAAGAAAGAGAUUCUUAAACUCUUAGAUGCUGGUGUUAUUUACCCUAUUUCAGAUUCUAAAUGAGUAUCUCCUGUGCAUGUUGUGCCAAAGAAGGGUGGUAUAACUGUAAUUAAAAAUGACAAGGAUGAAUUGAUACCAACAAGAACAAUCACUAGUCAUAGAAUGUGUAUUGAUUACCAAAAACUGAACUCUGCAUCGAGAAAAGAUCAUUUUCCACUUCCAUUUAUUGAUCAGAUGCUUGAGAGACUUGCAAACCAUCCAUUCUAUUGCUUUCUUGAUGGAUAUUCAAGAUUUUUCCAGUUCCCCAUACAUCCCAAUGAUCAAGAGAAAACGACAUUCACAUGCCCUUAUGGUACCUUCGCAUAUCGAAGAAUGUCAUUUGGUCUAUGUAAUGCUCCAGCCACCUUUCAAAAGUGCAUGAUGUCAAUUUUAUAUGAUCUAAUUGAGGAUAUUGUGGAGGUGUUUAUAGAUGAUUUCUCUGUCUACGGAUCUUCGUUUUCUGCUUGUUUGUCAAACUUGUGCAGGGUCCUACAGAGAUGUGAAGACACCAACCUUGUGAUGAAUUGGGAGAAGUGUCACUUCAUGGUUAAGGAAGGGAUUGUGCUGGGACACAAGAUUUCAGAGAAGGGGAUUUAGGUGGAUAAGGCCAAAAUCGAUGUUAUGGUUGGUUUGCCCCCACCAAAGAGAAUGAAAGACAUCCGAAGUUUUCUUGGUUAUGUUGGGUUCUACAGAAGAUUCAUCAAGGACUUCUCCAUGAUCACUAGACCAUUGACCAGGCUGUUGUGCAAGGAAGCCACUUUCAGCUUUGAUGUGGAAUGUCUACAAGCCUUCAAGAAGCUGAAAGGUGAACUCAUCAGUGCUCCGAUUGUCCAGCCACCUGAUUGGGAUCUCCCCUUUGAGAUCAUGUGUGAUGCUAGUGACUAUGCUGUGGGAGCUGUUUUGGGGCAGGAGAAAGAUGGCAAGACCCAUGUGAUCUACUACGCGAGCCAAACCCUGAAUGAUGCUCAGAUGAGAUAUACCACAACAGAGAAGGAGAUGUUAGCCAUUGUCUUUGCCUUUGAAAAGUUCAAAAGCUACUUGGUGGGAUUUAAAGUCAUUGUCUACACAGAUCAUGCUGCGCUGAGACACCUUUUGGCAAAGAAAGAUGCAAAACCCAGGCUCUUGAGAUGGAUUCUUUUGCUUCAAGAGUUUGAUUUGGAGAUCAAGGACAAGCCAUGAGUUGAGAAUGGUGUACCUGAUCACUUGUCCAGGCUGAGAGUGGAGUGUGGCAUUCCUAUUGACGAAGGACUUCCUGAGGAACAGAUCAUGGCUAUUGGAGCAGUGAUGGCAGUUUGUGAGACUGGUAUGAAGCUUGAAGAAGUCAAGGCAACAGAGGAGAAAGAACCUUGGUAUGCUGAUUUGGUAAAUUACCUAGCCGCAGGAAAAGAACCUUUGAAUCUUAUGGGCUAUGCCAAGAAGAAGUUCUACAGGGAUGUGAAGAGACACUACUGGGAUGAGCCCUACCUCUACAUUCUCUGCAAGGAUCAACUUUAUAUGAGAGUGGUUGCUAAUGAGGAGAUUGAUGGGAUCCUUACACAGUGUCAUGGACCAUCCUAUGGAGACCACUUUGCUACCUUCAAGACUGUUGCGAAGGUGCUACAAGCUGGAUUCUGGUGGCCACAUAUGUUUAAGGAUACACAGGACUUUGUUUCAAAGUGUGAUUCAUGCCAAAGGAGAGGGAACAUCACAAAAAGGAAUGAGAUGCCUCAAAAUCCAAUCCUUGAAGUUGAAGUGUUUGAUGUAUGGGGUAUAGACUUCAUGGGGCCAUUUCCAUCAUCUUUUGGUAACAAAUACAUCCUUGUAGCUGUUGACUAUGUCUCCAAAUGGGUGGAAGCUAUUGCAAGUCCCACCAAUGAUGCUAGAGUUGUAACCAAGAUGUUCAGGAGCACCAUCUUUUCAAGGUUCAGGGUUCCAAGAGUUGUAAUCAGUGAUGGAGGGUCUCAUUUCAUCAACAAACUGCUUGAGGGACUUCUCAAGAAGAACGGUGUUAAGCACAAGGUGGCAACUCCUUACCACCCUCAAACAAGUGGUCAAGUUGAGAUUUUUAACAGAGAAAUCAAGUCCAUUUUGGAGAAGAUUGUGGGGAUUACAAGGAAGGAUUGGUCAAUUAAGCUUGAUGAUGCGCUUUGGACUUAUAGAACAGCUUACAAGACACCUCUGGGGACCACACCCUUCAACCUAGUGUACGGGAAAGCUUGCCAUCUGCCAGUGGAGCUUGAGUACAAGGCACUAUGGGCAGUAAAGUUGCUGAACUUUAACAUCAAGAGUGCCAAGGAGAAAAGACUUCUUCAGCUACAUGAGCUUGAUGAGAUAAGAAUGGAUGCUUUUGAAAACUCAAGGAUCUACAAGGAGAAGACUAAAGGUUUCCAUGACAAGAAUAUCCUGAAGAGAGAUUUUAAAGAAGGAGAUCAAGUUCUUCUCUACAACUCUAGGCUGAAGUUGUUUCCAAGAAAGCUUAAGUCAAGGUGGUCCGGUCCUUUCAAGGUCAAAGAGGUUAGGCCAUAUGGGGCAAUAGUUUUGUGGAGUACUGAUGGAAGAGACUUCACAGUCAAUGGGCAAAGGGUUAAGCUCUACAUGGCUACUGCACCAGAGGAAGAUGGGGUUUCAACUCCACUUUCUGAUCCUACCCCGGCCUAAUCUAAAAGGAGGCAAAGUCAAGCUAGAGACUUAAAACAAGCUCACUUGGGAGGAAGUCUCAUGUAUAUCCUUGUACAUAUUGCAUUAAUAUUUUCAUUUUCAUCAUAUUUUCUAAAAAAAAAAAAAAGAUAAUUGAAGUUGUGCGCAGGUGCUCGAUUGAUUCGGAUUGAUCAAAGAAUCAUGCGUGGGAGCGAGGACCUGGAACGAGGAUGAAAGGUCGCUCCAUAUGGGAGCGAUGUCACCACAGCGACAGCCCGAGGUCGCUCGUGUUUUUGAUGUUUGGGUGCGCGAAAAAUAGACCGGGAGCAACGUCUUCGGAGCGACAAGGCUAAGUCGCUCGCGAAUAAGACUACCCGAGAGCGACCUCUCGCAGCGACAAGGCCAAGUCGCUCGCGAAUAAGACGACCCGGGAGCGACUUCCUAGAGUGAGCACAUGAAGUCGCUCCAGCUGGAAGCGACGUCUUCGGAGCGACACAGCUAGGUCGCUCGCGAAGAACCAUUUCGGAGCGACGUCUUUGGAGCGACACCGCUAGAUCGCUCGCGAAGAAACAACCCGGGAGCGACGUCCCGCAGCGACACCCUCAAGUCGCUCCCGAGCCGAUCCAGGUAAGUUUUCUUCGUUUUAAAACCGGUUUAAUUAAAACAAACCAAACCCAAACGCCCCCAACCCUACCCAACACCCACGAUUUCAUCUUCCUCACCCUCUCCUCCUCUCAUAAACUCUCAUACUCUCUCAAACUCACCCACACCAAAAAUAACCUAACUUUCUCAAUCCUCAACCAAAUCAACAAGUUCUUGUUGCUAAAUCCAAGUUUUCGCCCCUGUAAUCUAUUCCUCACCAUCCAUUCACCAUUUCCUUUCAUCCAAAGCAAGGUAUUGAGUUUUUAAAUUCAAAUUCGGAGGUUCAUGAACCCUAGAAUUUGAAAAUCAAAAUUUGGUCAUUUUCUUUCUAGAUUGUGGUAAAAUAGACUAGGAAAAGCUUAUCUAUCAAGUUAGGUUGUUGAAUCAAUGGUGAAAUUGAGUUUAAUUUGAACUUUGGCAAAAAAUUAGGGUUCAUGGAUUUGGGGGUUUUCAAAAUUGACCCAAAUUGAGUGUACUACUUGGUAAGUUAGUAUGUUAAGGUGUUGAAAGGUUUGAUUAAAGAAUCCUCUCAUUCUAGAACCUCUUUGAUUAUUGAAUUUUACUCUUGCCAUUUUCUUUUGCAAAGUUCAUCCACUUAUCCCUUUCUAAGUUUGGAAUUUUUCAGGUACCAAUGGUUAAGAAAACUAAGGGAAAGUCGGAUGCUGAGAAGCAAGAAGCGGAGAGAUGAGAAUCGGCAUUGAGAGAGAAAGAUUUAUCCUUGGAACAAACUGGCUCGAGGACUUCUCGGCAGCAAACCUUGGCUGCAAAGAAGACAAAAGAGCAGGAGAGGAGGGUAGGAAAAAGUGUAGCAGUUGCCACAGACGAGGAGAGUGGCGAUGAAAGUGCGGAUGAGCAGGCUCCUACAAAGAGGUCCAAGAUGUCAAAAGGGAAGGAGGUUGCCGUUGAUAGAGACAGGGCGAAAACUCCAUCUGAGGAAGAGCUGUAUCAUCAUUUGCUGAAUGGGGUAACUUGGACUCCAACCAGAUUCGCUGACCUUGAUUUGCUGAAGGAGGUGGGUCUCGAUUCUGAUAUUGAGGCAAUGCUGGGGCACCUGAAGAUGCCGAAACUCCUCACCAUGACCUACCCUACCUACCGGGAUGUCUCCUGUCAGUUCUUGUCUUCCCUUGAGGUCACUUACCAUGACGCUCUGCACGUGAGGCAAGGAUUGGGCAAAAUUAAGUUCUAGGUCAAUGGGAGAGAGUACAACAUGAACUUCAAAGACAUUGGGAGAGUCAUGGGUUUCCAAGACUUGGCAGACUACUCCCUUCCCAAGUGUGAAAACCUCCCCACUCAGCUUUGGAAGUUAAUCACUGGAAACAAGCACUCUACCGGGGCUGACAAGAACUCACAUAUCCGGCACCCGUCUGUACGCUACCUCCAUAGGAUGCUCGUCCAUGCAUUCUACCUACGGAAGCAAGCUGGUAAUGUCACCGAGGAAGACAUGCAACUGCUCUGCCCGGCAAUCCGCCCCUACGCCCCACCUGGAACGUUGCCCCUUCCAAGCAAUGACAUCUAUGCUUCCUUUGGGAUGGUCAGCUUCUUCGUGAAUCGUCUCGAGCACUACAGAGACUGGGCAUGGUACACAACUGAUUUGCAACCAAAGGUUAGGAUAGGCAGGAUGAUCACACCACUGCUCCAAUUUCUGAAUGUUCCCAUGGGAAAGGACGCAGCAGGGCCUAAGUUCAUCGAUGGCACUUACUUGACGAUUGCCACCUAUUUCAGUGGGAUGUAUGGGAAGGACUACAUCUACCACUACUACUUGCAGGGCAAGCCGGUCGAAGUGGUUCUUCCAAACCAGAACCUGACGAGCUUAGAGAGACCUGGAGUUAUCAGCUUCAACAUAUCCCAGGAAAACUUUCUUGGAGAACACGGGUCUCUCGGUCCCAUUGCUCCACCAAGGAAAAGGAGUGUUCUGACGAGACAUUACGAACCUCCUAGGGAAGCAUCUGUAUCUGUCUAUGGACCUCUGCGCUACUACUUCAAGCCACAUGAUGGGGUUCUUCCUCCUGGUGCGCUUCGUGACGCUCAUGAGCAUAUUGGUCGACUUCAGAGAUGGAACAAGGCACAAGACAGGACAAUAGAAAAGCUGAAGGACAAGUGCAAGGCGCUGAGUAAGACGGUGAAGAAGCAAGCAAAGACUUCAGCCAAGUUCAUGAAGAAAGUGGCCGAUGUCUUGACCAGAGGAGGCAUAGCUGGAUGUAGCUCAGCGGACUUCGCUUUCGCGAACACAUCAGUACCCCAGCCCCCACCUCAGCCUACUGAUCUUGGUUUCCCUCUCACUGAUAGACAGCUCCAGCGAACAUGGAGGAACCCACCCAUUCAACCCUCCACCUCAGGCAACAAGUCUCCAUCCCUAGCCUCUUCAUAUAGUGAGGCUGAGAUUGACGAGGUUCAGAGCCAACAAUGGUAUGGAGACUACAGCUCAGCAUAUGGGAGUUACUACACCACGUUCCCACCGGACGACGACGAUGCUGGGGCCUCUGCCCCUACUCACUUUCCUUGAAAGUACUUCAUUAUUUCCCCUUGUAUAUACCAUCUCAUUUUUGCAUAUUAGCUUUUUCUUGUGGGUAUCUCCCUCUACUUGACAACACAGAGACUGUGUAACUUAAGUUUGGGGGAGGUACCAAGUAUUUGAUCACGUUUGCUUUGAUGAAUUUGCAUUGAGUCUUGCACACAUACCUUUUUGCAUUAAAAAAAAACAUAUAGAUUGCAUCACUUGCAUUUUUAGGAGAGUUUAGAUCAUAUAGGUUGCAUUCACUUGCAUUGGGAGCAAUGAUUUAAGAUGCCUUGUAAAGAACACUAUCUCACACUCGAGUAGCUAUUGCAUCUCUCAAAAAGCCUUGUAUGUUUCGAGCCUUGAAAACUCUUCCUGAAUCUCAUUAGUUGCUGAAACUCAAUCUUUGAAGCCAACUACAUCCUUAUUUGAACUGAACGAACUUAAUGCUUCUUGCUUAUGGUCCCUUGUGUACUGAGUCAUGGAUAUACACACUUGAGUUGUCACAUCCUUUAUGCCAAUCUUUUUGACAAACUCGAGUGGUACACCACUCCCAAAACCCCUUCCUCUUUUUAAGCUUUCAUUGUUUGAUGAGUGAGGCCUUUUUCGAAAAGUCUUACAUGUGCAUAAUGUUGAGAGUAUCGGGAACGACAAUGCUUGAUCUUCAUUCUUGCUAGAUUAGGUACUCUAUUGUCUAGCUAUAGGUUGGGGUGAGUAUUGUGAUUAUGAUUUGGAAGUAUGAAAAGUUCGAAGGAAAAGAAUAUACUCUUUGUGUUUAAAUGGAUAAUCUUAUUGGAAUUAGUAGAUAAACAUCUAGCUCGAGUUUAUGAAAAGUCUUGGCCCCCGAAAAAAAAAAAUAAUAAUAAUUAAAAAAAAAGAAAAAAAUGUAUAUAUAUAUAUAAAGAAAAAAAAGAAAAAAAAAGAGAAAAGGGGGCUAACAAAGUUGUUAGGAGCUAAGAUUGUUUUGAAGUUGAGGAAAAUCUUUUAUAGAUGUCAAAGAAAAAGAGUUUUAUGUGCAAAGUGUUCUUGGGUUCUUUUGGUGAGAGAUGUGAGUUGUGUUUGACAUUGGGAAGUGAAUGUGUAACUUGAAUGUUUGGGAAAAGGGUAGAACAAUGGAGAUUGAACAUUGUAUGCAUGAGUUGGUCCCUUUCUUAGAUAUAUUAUGUGCAAUGUCAAGGCUACUUGUUUCGAGAGUAAACCACCUUAAAGAUCAUAUAUCUUGAACCUCUUGACUCACUUGAAUAAAAAGCCUUCCCUUACCCAACCAAAUGAUUUGGACCAAUUGACCAUUUGCAAGAAUUCACCUGAUGUUUUAUGCUUAAUGAAUGUGAGAGUUGGUUGAUUUGAAUGUGUGGAUGCUUGAUGAUGAGUGUAAGGGCAAAAGGAGUUGAGAUAGGUCUAGAGAAGCUAGAGUGUAAUGAGAGAGUGUGCUCUUGUUGGGUUAUAUGUUGAAUUAAGUGCUAGUGAUGUUUCUUUUGGCUAUGAGCUCCCACCUUCAACCCUCUCUCCCUAUGAGUUCUAGAAAGUUCACUUGUGUACAAGUAAAAGAACAAGUUUGGGGGAGUUGAUAUCUUGCAUAUUUCCAUUGUUUUAUCCAUUCACCCAUGUGCAUUUUGAUCAUAUAGACUAGGAUUUAGACAUAUUUAGGUUGCAUUUUGCAUACAUGAGUCUUUAUCAGGUAUUGGAGUACCACGUGGAGUUCUUGGAGACAAUUGGGUGCAUUUGGAGCUAAAAAGAGGUGAUAAAGGUGAUCAUUGGACAAGCAGUGCAUGGGAGCGACCGCACCGGAGCGACACCGUGAAGUCGCUGUGACACCCCUUCAGAGCGACUUGACCAGAGCGACACCCCGAUGUCGCUCGCGUAGAAACAACGAAAACGCGCACGGAGCGACCUUACCACAGCGACGUGGAGAAGUCGCUCGCGUCUUCAUCCCCAGGAGCGACCAGUCGCAGCGACCUCUCCAGGUCGCUCCCGAAGAAACGACCCGUGAGCGACUUCUCGCAGCGACUACUGGAGGUCGCUCCCGACCUAUUGUUUACCCGAAUUCAUUUCUACUCAAGGGCCUUUUGGCCAUUUCAUUAUGCACGUUUUACACUUUCUAAACCUAUGUUUAAGAAUCCUUUGUAAGCCAUUGGAGGCAGAUUAUCUGGAUCUUAAGAAACACAACAAAAAAAACCGCUUGGAACGUUCAUCUCUUUGGAUUCAAUUGAUUUUCUGUUAUUGCAAUCCUGUUGUUUUCAUAUCGAUUCUAUGUAUUCCUCUACAUGAUUAAUCUAAAAUCCAAUAUGGGUUUAAGAGGAAUCAUGGAGAUUAGUGAGUAAUCACCUUUUGAAUUCAUGGGUUAGGGAGAUUAAAGGUGAUUAGGUUAGAACUAAGAUGUUUUAGUGUAGAUCAUUCUUAAUCCUUGCUAGUAGAGUAUUCAUAAUGCUUCUUCUGAAUUAGCUACUCAAAAGUUGACCUUUAGGCAUUUCCCACCCAAAAGGUGUUUGAUGAAAUGCCUGAGACAACUCUUCUAAGCUUUUAGCAUAUUUUACCGAAGACAUUUGUUGUUAGAAGUGCUAAGAUAGCCUUUAGACUUGCUAGUAAUGAUUGCUUUCAUAUUGUUCAACCAAAGACAUUUGUUGUUUGAAAUGUGUUAGUAAAUGAACAUUCAUCUAGACAUAGAGUCUGCUUAGAAUUGUGUCUAAGCUUAAGGUUGAUAGUUUGAUUGUUCGUUUUGCCAUCCUUAGUUCGAAACUUGAUCACCCGAGGUCUAAUUCCUACGCUCAUGAGUUAUCUUUUCCCUUAGUUAAAAAAGUCGUUUCAUUUAUCGUUUUUAUUAUUCUGCAACUGCAUUAGCAUUAAUCGUUAGUUUAGAAAACCUUUUUAAUCAUCGGUUGCACUUAGAUUAAGCAAGUACUUGCACUCUCAGUGCUUGAAAUCCCUUAGAAUUGGUUCGACAAUCUUUUAUACUACAUCAUUUGUUUUAGAAGCCUUCAAAACUCUUAACAUCAAUAACUCACACACGUUUCUACUAGUUGUGGUAGCGACUUUAUGCUUCUUGAACAAGUGUUGAUGACUAUUGUCUCAUACCCUUUAUCCUCAGGAUUACAACCAGUCGUAACAACCUGUUCAACCCGAUUCCGCCUGCGCAUUUUUCUCUGCCUUUGACCAGAACCUUCAAGCUAAGUCUAACCUUGAAUCGGCCUUUCCCUUUAGGUUCUUCCUGUCACUCACACGAUCUCACUAAAAUUGCUACAUGCUGUUACCACAAAUAGACAUUUGCUCCAACAUACCCUUGUGUAGGCUUUUACACACUUUUGUCCUUGCUCUAGUUGCUUCUUCGUGGAGGUAUAACCUAUUCCUGCCACACUGACUUGGUGACUAUUCUGGCUUUCUUCUUACAGCCAGAAACUUUCUGUGUCACUCUCACGACCUCACUAAAGCUGUUACAUGCUGUUACCACAAAUAGCCAUUUGCUCCAGCAUAUACUUGUGUAGGUUUUUACACACUUUUCCCUUGCUCUAGUUUCCUCUUCGUGGAGGUACACACGGUUUCAGUCACAGUAACUUGGUGACUCUUCUGGCUUUCAUCUAUCUGCCAAAAACCUUUCCUCUCAUGCACCCACGAGCCUGACUUGAACUGACCCAAAACAAAUCACCGUUGUUUCGUCAUAUUGUUGUCACACGACAACCAACCUUUGCAGCUGCAAGAUCUGUUGGUCAUCUUUCGCUAAGAUAACAUGCAUUCCUUGUGAUCUCUGAAAAACCUUCAGUCCCUGUGAGAUUGAUGACCUUUGAUUCCAUCUCCUUAAGUCUAUAUUUGACUUAAUGUGAGUCUGUCUUCCCUUGAGAUAUCCUCCAUCCCAAACGACUCAAAUCAAUCUCCAACACUGCUGAUCACAAACACGCCCACCUAUGCAGCCCUCUUGUUGCAGCUUACGCGAGUCUUCCCUUUCUUGCAAAUACCGCUGCAUCCCUUGCAAGUCUCUGAUCAUGAUUUCACCAACCUGAAACCACCAUGUGCUUUGAGAUCAUCCUCUGUGAACGUUUCUUCCUCUGUCUCUGAUGUCGUUGUUGUCUACCACAAAUGAACAUCUUUGGUUUGUCACACUUACUACGAUCGUGACUAAAAAUCUACUGAUUCUCCUCUCCAAAAUUUCCAGCUGAUGUCGAUGCUAACUUGAAGCUCCUGCAGAACCUGAAUCACCAUUGCCUCAAACUAGAAGCCCUUUGACUCAAUUCUUAUCCAACCUCAAUAGCCCGUAGACACUCAACUCCUCAUCCUGAAAAUUUCCUUUGUUACAAUCUGAAUGAACACCUUGCCUUGAACAUCACUCUGAACCGCUGAUGUUGCCAACAGAUCCUGCCGCUUAGCUCAACUUGCUAAGAAGACUUUCGAUGCAAAGAAUCUCUGCUCAACUUAUGCUCAAACAAAUCAUUACCUCAGCAACCGUGAUACCAUGUAGACCCAUUUAAUUUUCCCCUCAUAUGCCCUGAGAAGCCAAAACAAACUACUACUGAAUCCCAUGCAGAAAAUCCGAAACAUACAUGUUUCCAUCCUGAAUCAAUCUCGAUUUGACACCGCCACCUGUUCAGCCGAACUCUGCCUUGAACAAGUAACUCUUCGUUCUCGCAGAUCUAUUCCAGCAGAAAACUAUGUGUUACGCCAAACAUAUAUUUGCUUAGAAAACCACACUGCAUUCCCUCUGAAAAUAGCAGUCUUGUAGUAUAUUGUUCUCUGAACCUCUAUCUGACUGUAGACUCACAUAAUCACACAUAGACAAACCCGCAUGAGUCGAUCUCCUUCAACCCUUCUGAAACACCCUUCAUGCUGAGUAAAGAAUACCAUCUGAAACAGCCAUGAAACACUCAUAUCAUUCAAGGUUCUAAGGCAUCCCCUAGUUCCAAGAAUUCCAUGAGAUACCGAGCUGAAAUACCCACAUAGAUUAGAACAUCACCUGCAACUGAUAUACCAUGUACAUUAAAUCCAAAAACACCGUGAAAACCCUCACUGAAUCUUCAGACAAUCCCAUAGAAAAACCAGUGCGAAAACCCCUUGUGCUCCACUAUGCUUUCAGUUCCAAUAACUUGCAGAACAUGAAGAAAUCCGAAAAUCCAAUGCAUAUAGUCACACACACCUUGUGACUGUCACACAAUCCUUGUGACUGCAGAUCGAAGAUAGCUCUAAAACCUUUCUUUCUUAUGCUAGCAGCAUGCCACCAUUUUAUCUUGUGAGUAACCCGAAGUCCUUCUCACACAGUAGCUGAUUCUUGCACCCAUGGAGAACUCUAGAGAAGCCCUGAUUUCAUAACUAGAAAUCAUCUCAACCGAUUCAACUGACUCGUGAAUCCUUCCUCCAUAAACUUGUGCAGCUGCAUCGAAGAACGUCCAACAGUUUUUCUUCUUCUCUUGUAAAUCGAAAAUCUCUUUGACCUGAUCUUGUAACUCGGUUUAUCCUCUGAUUUUUAACUUAAUCAGAUUCCACGUGUUUAGAACCACGUGACCACCAACUUCCAUUAAACCUUGCGAGUUUCUUUUGUCUCGCUUGGAAGCUUCUUCGUAUGUCUCUCCUCUUCGAGAUGUGGACUCCAUGAAUCAAUGAGCCUAUGCUCUGAUACCACUUGUGGGGGGGGGGGGGUUAUGAUAGCCACUUGUAGCGGAAUACAAGCUCAUAAUACCCAUGUCCCUUUCACUACUCAUACAAUUCAAUCCUUGUUCAUGACUCAAGAAUUUUUCACCCAGUUCACGGCCGCAGCGCGCUACAUCUAGGGUGGAUCCAUGAUCCACGAUCCACAACAUCCAAUAUGAAGUAUCGGAAAACACCUCCGAUGUGGUUUACAAAAUCAUUACUCUCUCUGUCCUGGGUAUACAAACCCUAGAGAGUAUAAAGAGAUUACAAGAGAAGUACAUGGCUAAGAGCUAAGCCUAGAACAACAUAUCUAUGUCUAACUUACUCUAUCUCUCUAAGAGACGCCAUGGAAUCUCCCGCCUCCUAGAGGCUCAGCUUGAGUUUAGAAAUCCAUGUCGUGAUCUCUCCUUCUUUGUAUCAGCACUUUACCUAAUGAGCUUCAACGAUUAGGCCCAUAUGUUGUCCGCGCGUAACUUGUGCAAACCGACCCAACAUUGAACAUGUCUAAUGGACUUUGACCAAACCUCACAGAAAAAAAGCUCAUUUCCUUUAGAAUUAGCCGGAGACUUCAUAAUCACAAGGGAACUAGAGAAAGUUCACCGAAAGAUCUAUUCGGAUGCAAGCAACUAAGGAAAAUCAAACUCUCUAAGCAAGAUGAAAACACCACCAACAGUUCAGAGAUGAACUAAGCCAACAAUCUGAGAAAAGAAAGUACCUUGAACCAAGGUGAAGGUACAUUUUUUUCGCUGAUGAUGGAGACACUGAAACUCAAGACCCGCCACGAUCCGGAACAAAAUAAUAGGCUACAACAGUAGAAUAAAAAAGCCGAAACGAACAUUUUACGUGAGCUUUUUAGAUGAAGAGACCUGUUGAACUAGCAAUAAUUGACUACAACAAUCACGUAGAAUUUUUAUAUUGUUUUGUGCCGUUCAACCUCACACAUCAAAAAUUGUUUUUGAAAGCUACAGUUAUGGACGAUUGUGAAUUGAUAGUUAUGGACUACAGUUAUUUCUAAAGUGUUUAACAAGCUUUUGAUCUACGGAAGGUGUCUAGAGUCAAAGGCCGAUAUUGUAGACAUUUGAAAGACGGGAGUGAAUAAAUUCUCGCAUCAGAUUCCAGCGUAAGCUUGACUCUAAAGCAGUUCUUAAUUGAUCUUAACACAAAGAAGCCGUAAAGUCUCUUUUUCUUUUGGUAACUGCAUAUAUCUCUCUAGGUUGAGUAGGUUCGACAACAAGCUGUGGAAUGUGAUGCUAAGUUAGAACUUAGUGGUAAUGUUUAGGAAGCAACUAUUCGUAAAUUCUGCCUCUUAGUAUAAAAAUAUAUUAAUGCCUUUGUGGUUAUCAAUUUGUAUGUUUACCAAAAAUAGUAGAUUAAAAGAGUAAUAGAAACUAAAUAUAAUACAGUCAAGUAGAUGUAUCAGAUGUGUAAAAAGUUUUUGAACUGGAACCUAUUUCACUACAUAAAGACUAAAGCUAUUCAGUUUUAUAUAUGGUUUCCGGAAAGCUUGUCUUGAAGAUAAUGAUUAAUGGAAAAAUAAUUUCGGAAAUGUUCCUAUAAUUUUGUUUAUCAUACAUAUUCCGCUUGGCAGUGAUGGCCUCGGAUCAAAGUCCUCUCCAUUUACUUAAAGUUCCGGCUCCGUGUUGGUCAUGACUGCAUUGAGAGUAGCAGCACUUGCCUUUGCUUCGCUCAUCUUCUUCUCCAAAGUCCUCUCCAUUUACUCUCUCCACUUAAAUGUCUGUCAACAAACAAAUAAAACCAUUAAGGAAAGAGAUCAUAGACUGAUAACUCUGAGCCAAAAUAUGAUCAUUUGAAGAAGUUUACCUCAAUCGAGUAGUUUUUUUUGUUAGUUAAGCAGAUAUUGCGGUGGUAGGCGAAGAAUCCAGCAAGAAGAAGAGAAACAAGGGCAAUAAACACCAUUAAAAGUAUCUGGGGGCAUUGUAUGUACCAACUAGCCAUUGUUUCAAAGACAACCCACACAGCCAUUACAUUAAUCUGUCUGUAUGUAGACAGAAUUUUUUUAACUAAAAAGUCCAAAAAUGCAGCCUAUUUAACCAGCAAUAAUUGAUUACAACAGUCACAUAUUUUACAUAAGCGGCGGAACUCACAGCCUGAGCACUUUACCACCAAGCCACAAACUCUCGGUUAACAAUCACAUGUUUCAUACUGCCUUGUGCUAUUCAACCUUAGAAAAUUUGUAGUACUUUUAUUGACCAAAAAAACUUACAGAACUGAAAAUUGUAUUCUGAAUAUUUACGUUUAGCGUCUAUUGUAAUCUGUAAAAAGAUAGCUAAAAUUAUUCGAAAAUUAAUUUAUAUAUUUUUUGGAAAUUCAAAUUUAGAUAUCAUAAUUAUAAUAACUAGUAACAUGUUUUAUUUGUUUAUUAUACAGGCUUUUACGUUUCUUUUGUACAUAUUAAUCAGUGCUUAGGUUUAGGCCGUAUAUACAGAUGCUGGUGCUGGAGGAUGCAUGAUUGAGUAAUCACUUACUAUAAAAUAUUUAUACAUUCCACGUUUCGAUAACAACAAAAUUAAUUGAUUAAAAUAUUUAUACGUUCUCAUUACUUAAUCCAAGCAUGUUUACUGGAUCUUUCUUCUGUCUAUCUAUUUUGUUUAUUUUAAUCAAAUACAUACUCUCUCGGUUUCAAAAUACAUGAAGUUUUAGUACUAUACACAACUAUUAAGAAACUUGUUUUUUAUCUUAAAAAUAUCAUUAAAAUAUAAAUUAAAAGCUAUUCAACCAAUCACAAAACAUACUACAAAAUAUCAUUGGUUAUACAGUUUUUGAUAAAGUUAAAAAGUACAUUAGUAUAUCAAAACAUCAUCUAUUUUGAAACAUCAAAAACUCUCUAAAAUAUCAUCUAUUUAGAAACAGAGGAAGUAUCUUUAUAUAUAAAGAACAGUUUUCUCUAUCCCGGUGAAGACACCUAAGAUGCCAUGUCACAAAAUCAGGUUCUGUGAGUGUGACACGUGUCAUAGGAAACAAAACACAUCGUUUUAUUAAAACAGGUUUGAUGAGCUUCGAUCUGAUCACUGUCUGUUUACGUUUUGCGCUGUAAAAAUUAGAUGUUUUGCGGCCCGAGCAUAUGGAAUCAUGCGUAACCCUAAUUGUAAUGAAACGAGGAGAUGGAGAUAAUGUUAGAAACGCAACGUUUCUGAUUUUAUAAUUUCAUCGCUCUCUCCUCUCCGUCGUAGCGAUUCAAAGGUUUCUAUCGAUUUAUUCAUCUUCUUCCUGCCAAUCCAGAGAUCAAUCGGUUACUGAUUCAUUCCUAUUAAAUUCCUUCUUAAUCCAUAGGCAGUGGAGGUUCAACUAUAAAAAGGUUAGCAUCCAUACACUAUGAAUCAUCCUAUCAAUCUACUUAUUUACUGAGAAAUGGCUCUCGAGUUUUCCUUUCAGUUUCUCUGGAUCAAUCAUUAUAGUCCCCAUAAAAUCUCUCACAGUGGCCGACUCAUCAAUUUUGCUAGCCGAGUUGAAAUCUGGGCAUUGCUGCAACACCGAAGUCUGAAUGUUGAGGCUCCUCCUUGACGAGAAGGUAAUUUCAGUGGACAUUAACUGUUUUUAGUGUUUUUAGGAGAAAGAAUGCAAACUUCUGGGUUGUUGAUCUUUAGGCCACCGCCUCAACACCUUCAGAUAGAUUUUUUAGGAAGGCUCAUUGUACUCUAUUAGUGGGUUUGACGUUCCAUGUAGCAAUGUUAACUUCAAGCUGUCGGACUCCAAUCUCUCCAUACGUUUCAGUGAUCAAACUGUCUUGCUGAGAUAACCGAACCGGCCAAUCCAAUACCCAUGUAGCUGUUCAGGUUCGGCAGUUAACAUCAGCUACUUGCUUUAGCAAACGUCAAUACUCAUCUUCCUGGGUACUCUCUCGGCCUCUGCUUCUAAAACAUAUAUUCUGUUUUUUUUGUGCAUCAAAUACCGUAAUGAACAAUAGGUACUUGCUGAUGCUGUCACUGCCAAUUAUUGUUUGGCAGACAUUUUCGGUGAAUUGACUGAGAUCAGAAGCACACUGAAUGAAGACUUACAGAGCAAAGUACGUGUGAUAGCGACUAUUAAAAUUCAGAGGUUAGUCUCGCUGUCCUAGGAAAACAUUUCUUCAUUGGAUUCCUCUAAGGAAGAACGACCCAGCCUCCAUAAGAAUAUAUCUUGGUCUCCUCUGAAACGUAACUUCCAGAGAACUUGGCAAGUCAUAUGCCUUUCUCAUAUGCUAAUUACCCAUCUCCUCUCUCUCUCUUAUUUUGUCUCUUUCAAAGAUUCAGACUUCACUGAAAUUAAUGAUCAAUAUUUGUUUUUGUAUAUGAUGUUUUUGUGUAUAGUGAUUGCGGGAAUGGAGAGAUAUGCGUUUAAAGGAGUUCCAUCAAACUAAGUAACAUAUCUAACAAAUGUAGUGAAGAUGAGUAAUUCAUGAGCAGCCAUACAGUAAAUUCGUGGGCUGGGUUCCGUUUCUAUGUUGCCUCUCUUCUCUGCUCCUUUGCUGAUGUGUAUAGUGAUAGAUUCGUCACUAUCCUUUUUCUUAUUCUGUCUACUUUGUGGUACGAGUCUUUUACAUUGAACUAUAUACAUAUUUGUGUCAUAUAAGCAAUUUUUUUUAAGUUAAUGUUGAACUCUCUUUUAUGUCAAAUUAUGUUUAUCCAAUGAGAUUAGGCUAUUUGGCCAUCUUAUGAUCGUUUAUCAUUUUUACUUUUAGCAUUACUCUUUUAUGUCAAAUUAUGUUUAUCCAAUGAGAUUUGGCUAUUUGGCCAUCUUAUGAUCGAUUAUCGUUUUUAUUUUUAGCAUUAUACUGCAAAAUUAAUAAUCAGUCAUGCGAAGUUUAAUUAAUCGUAACAAGAAUGAAUUCAAUAUUAUUUUUAAUUAAAAAGGAUGGUCAAGAAUUUUUUUUUUUUUUGAGACAUGACUUAGGAUGGUCGAGAAUAUUGAAUCACAUAAAAUAUAUAAUCAGACACUUUCAAAUAAAAUAUUAAGUGUUUGCUUCAAAGGUGAGAUGUGGGAACGAAAGUGAAAACAAUGAAUAAAGUAAAAACACGAUCUAGACAUAUUAAAUAGCUUAUCUUGGUUGCUUAUAUCGUUUAAAACCACAAUACAAAAUUUGUUAUAGUUUGGUGAUAACUUUUUUUAACCAACAGCCAAUGUUGAGAUAAAAAUAUGAUUAUGAUCAUUCUUCAAAAUUGAUAUAUAUAUAAACGGUGCAUUUACAUCAAAAUAGACUUUGGACGAAGUGGAACACAAAUUUGAAAAGACAAAUUAUCAAACACCUAUGAAAAUAAGAUAAAUAAUAUUUAGAUAAUGGAUCCCAUUAAUAGCGUUAUAAAUGCAUAAAUUUUGUUGUAAGAACUCAGUCUGUAAUUGUUGGUGACGUAGUUAUAAGUUCUUUUUAUAUAGAAAAUAUUACAAUUUUUAAACAGUUGAUUUAAGAAAAUAAAAGCAUAGAAAUAUAUAGGGUUGUAAAUUUAAGGGGUAGAGUCCAUUCAAGUUCCGAUUGAUAACGACUUUCGUUUUAUGCUUUGGUUUUAGAUUUGUGGCUGUAGAUAUUUUAGCUUUAAAACCAGCAACUAUUACAUUAUAAAGUUUAAAAACCUGCUUGGUAUCAAAGGUUUUAAAAGCUCUGACUGUUAUAAAUAUAUAUUUAUGAUUCAUUCCAAAAAUGUAUUAUCUACUUUUUUCUAUCUACUUUUUUUAUUUAUGCAAGUCUAUAGAAUAUGUGGAAUAGUUUUAGACGAUAAAUCAGUUAAAAUUUAUCAACAAAUAAAUUUUAUUUAUUUAUUAUAGAAAUAAUAAUUUAAUCAUUCGUAAAUGUUUUAGUUACCAUAGACAAUAAGUUUUAGGCUUUAACAAAUUAAUUUCAAUAAUAGUAGGUUAUGAUUUUUUCCUCAUGUUAAAAAUCUAACUAAUUAAUAAUUAAUAAUAAUUAAUUUAUCAAUCAUCAGUUUUAUUUUUUUGUUUUCUUGGUCAAAAAUAGACAAAAGACAAAAAAAAAUUAGUUACCCACUUCUUUUAAAAAAAAUAAAGAAAAAAAGCUUUAAAAUCUUUAAAAAUGACUGUAGAACAAGGUGAACAAAAAAAAACAGCUUCUUCUAAAAAUGAGAUUUUAAGGCUUUAUAUAUUUCUAAAAUCUCAAAUAAUUUAUUGGUAAAUUAUUGGAUUUCAAGGCUUUACAUAACCACAAAGUCUCAAUAGUCUCAUU
rnacentral:lncRNA from 1 species